rnacentral:rRNA from 1 species
UUGGAGGGCAAGUCUGGUGCCAGCAGCCGCGGUAAUUCCAGCUCCAAUAGCGUAUAUUAAAGUUGUUGCAGUUAAAAAGCUCGUAGUUGAAUUUCGGGGUCAGUAGGUCGGUCGUGCCACUGGUAUGAACUGGUUUUACUGAUUCCUCCCUCUUGAAGAACUGUAAUGCCAUUAAUUUGGUGUUGCAGGGAAUCAGGACUGUUACUUUGAAAAAAUUAGAGUGUUUAAAGCAGGCUUUAGCUUGAAUACAUUAGCAUGGAAUAAUGAAAUAGGACGUUUGAUCCUAUUUUGUUGGUUUCUAGGAUUGACGUAAUGAUUAAUAGGGAUAGUUGGGGGCAUUAGUAUUCAAUUGUCAGAGGUGAAAUUCUUGGAUUUAUUGAAGACUAACUACUGCGAAAGCAUUUGCCAAGGAUGUUUUCAUUAAUCAAGAACGAAAGUUAGGGGAUCGAAGACGAUCAGAUACCGUCGUAGUCUUAACCAUAAACUAUGCCGACUAGGGAUCGGAUGAUGUUAAUUUUUUAAUGACUCAUUCGGCGCUUUACGGGAAAC